GGGAAUUCACUCUCGCCGCCACCUCCACCACGGCCACUUCCAAGGGUCUGGGAUAAGAAGGCUGUUCCGGAGAGCGUGACAAAGCAAGAAAUCGCAAGGUUCUGGUGUCAGAAGCACAUUAACGAAAGGAGCAUCUCCUCGUCGCUAUCAAGGCUGCAGCAUGUAUUCGAGCCCUCAAGCUCUCGGUAAGAUUCUUUAAAAUGACUUGUUACAAGAAAAAACUUUAGUGUAACCGAGGAUAUAUCCCCUCUCAGUCUCACUCAUCACAUGUCAUGUGCUAUCGAGCUGAGACAUAUGGAUCAGAAACAUAUGCAAAAGAGCAGUUAGUAGCAUUUUUAUUUGUUUACUUUUGCUUAACUUGAUGAAGGGGUAUGGUGUAUAGGAGGAAGAUCACAGACGUUUUGAGGAG
rnacentral:lncRNA from 1 species